AGUCCGAGUUGUAAUUUGCAGAGGGCGCUUUGGCGUUGGCAGCGGUCCAAGUUCUUUGGAACAGGACGUCACAGAGGGUGAGAAUCCCGUACGUGGUCGCUAGCCUUCGCCGUGUAAAGCCCCUUCGACGAGUCGAGUUGUUUGGGAAUGCAGCUCUAAAUGGGAGGUAAAUUUCUUCUAAAGCUAAAUACUGGCCAGAGACCGAUAGCGCACAAGUAGAGUGAUCGAAAGAUGAAAAGCACUUUGGAAAGAGAGUCAAAUAGCACGUGAAAUUGUUGAAAGGGAAGCGCUUGCAGCCAGACUUGCCUGUAGUUGCUUAUCUGGACUUUUGUCCAGUGCACUCUUCUGCGGGCAGGCCAGCAUCAGUUUGGGCGGUUGGAUAAAGGUCUCUGUCAUGUACCUCCUUUCGGGGAGGCCUUAUAGGGGAGACGACAUGCAACCAGCCCGGACUGAGGUCCGCGCAUCUGCUAGGAUGCUGGCGUAAUGGCUGUAAGCGGCCCGUCUUGAAACACGGACCAAGGAGUCUAACAUCUAUGCGAGUGUUUGGGUGUCAAGCCCAGACGCGUAAUGAAAGUGAACGGAGGUGGGAACCCUUUGGGUGCACCAUCGACCGA
rnacentral:rRNA from 1 species